CUGCGCGUGUGUGAAGAAGGCCUUGGGUUGUAGGCACUUUAAGCGAGAGGCGCUACCUGUAUUCUACUCUAGGAUAUUGGACGUUCUCGCAUACUUAAGCGCCGGCUAACUCUGUGCCAGCAGCCGCGGUAAUACAGAGGGUGCGAGCGUUAAUCGGAUUUACUGGGCGUAAAGCGUGCGUAGGCGGCUGAUUAAGUCGGAUGUGAAAUCCCUGAGCUUAACUUAGGAAUUGCAUUCGAUACUGGUCAGCUAGAGUAUGGGAGAGGAUGGUAGAAUUCCAGGUGUAGCGGUGAAAUGCGUAGAGAUCUGGAGGAAUACCGAUGGCGAAGGCAGCCAUCUGGCCUAAUACUGACGCUGAGGUACGAAAGCAUGGGGAGCAAACAGGAUUAGAUACCCUGGUAGUCCAUGCCGUAAACGAUGUCUACUAGCCGUUGGGGCCUUUGAGGCUUUAGUGGCGCAGCUAACGCGAUAAGUAGACCGCCUGGGGAGUACGGUCGCAAGACUAAAACUCAAAUGAAUUGACGGGGGCCCGCACAAGCGGUGGAGCAUGUGGUUUAAUUCGAUGCAACGCGAAGAACCUUAACUGGGCUUGACAUACUAGAAACUUUCCAGAGAUGGUUUGGUGCCUUCGGGAAUCUAGAUACCG
rnacentral:rRNA from 1 species